rnacentral:lncRNA from 1 species
CCCUAGACGACCUGAAAGUCAGAGUUGGGUUUCCAUUCCACAAAAUCUGUAUAGCGGAGUUAGUGAUAGCAGACAUAAUCACAUUAUAAAGGUAAUUCGAAAUACCUACUGUUUGGAGUGAUGCAUCAAUAAACUCCCAACACACUUGAUCGUAAGCUUUCUCCAAGUCAAUCUUGAUGGUCAACAGUUUUCUAGUCUUCUUCUUAAUUUUCAUGGAAUGAAAUACUUCCUGAGCAAUAAU